UGUCUCUCAAGCUCUGGUGAUAUCAGGUUCUUUCAAUUCUUCUGCCUUUUAAACUAAGUACUAUACUAGCAUUCUGGAAGCUUCCAGUCAGAGCCUUCAAUCAACGACAUACUGUAGGUCAUAUUAUCAGGUGAGGGGACGAUGUCAGACCCACCUGAUAGAACAAACGAUGUGCUCGACAUCUCGCAGUUCCUCAAUGUGUAUGUGUCAGUGGAUGAAGAUCCCCAGGCUGAACCUCUGGAGAGCUGGGAGGAUGAUCCUCUAC